rnacentral:RNase_P_RNA from 1 species
CGGGUCGGCCAGACGGUCGCGUCGCGUGCUGCGAGGCACGCGCCGAGGAACGUCCGGGCUCCACAGAGCAGGGCGGUGGGUAACACCCACCCGGAGUGAUCCGCGAGAAAGUGCAACAGAGAGCAGACCGCCACGUCGCGCGAGCGGCGGGGUAAGGGUGAAACGGUGGUGUAAGAGACCACCAGGGGCCCGAGUGAUCGGGCUCGCUGGGUAAACCUCGCCCGGAGCAAGGUCAGACAGGUGCCGAUGAGGUUGCUCGCCGAGGCACCGGGUAGACCGCUAGAGGGCUGCGGUGACGCAUCCCCGAGAGAGAUGGCCGUCCGGUCGGCUCGGGCCGGCUGACAGAACCCGGCGUAUCGGCCGGCCCGUUCG